GCUACAAGAAACAGUGAACAAAACAAGGAUGUUGAAGGUCAGCAUAUGUAGGUCAUAGGAAAAGAAGCUGUCCAUGUAAGGAAACAAUAACUACUUAGGAAAAAUACAGUUCAGGGCAGAUUCUAUUACCUCCUAUUAGAAAAAGAUGUAGAACUUUCCAGAAAGCAUAAAACACCAAGUGCAAACACAACCAACAGAGGACAGAUCAGACUGGAAGAACUACAGAUCCCUACUCAAAGCAGGUUCAAACAUUAGGUCAGACCAAGCUGCUAAGAGCUUCACCCAAUCCGGGCCUGAAACCUCCCAGUGCAGGAGACAGCCCAGCCUCCCAGGGCCCCAGACCCAAACUGCUGGACUGUCCUCAUGGGGAAAAGGCUUCUCUUUAUCUCCAGCCUGAGCUGCUCGUUUCAGCUUGCGCUGCUGCCUCUCACCCUCCAGCCAUGCAUGCACUGAAGAGUGCAGCUCUCCUCCAUCCCCUCCUGUUGAUGCCAGGGGAUGAUGCCGAGUACCCCCAAAACCAUCCCUUCUCCCAAGUGAACCAGCCCCAGCCCCACAGCCUCUCCUCCCAGGCCAAGGGAUCCAGCCCACAACUAUGUUGGUCACCCUCCAUUAAACUUGCUCCAGUUGUUGAUACCGGUCUUGUAACAGAGGUCCUAAAAAUGGAGACAAUGAAGCACAUCUAAUACACAUCAAGGACUUUCACUAUUGUACUUCCAUGCUUUGUUUAGUGGAUGACUACAGAGCCUUACCACUUCUGCUCUGUUUCAGAUACUACUUUUGGAGAACAAAAGAGCUUUCCCAGGUAACUUUUCUUCCUCAGAAACAGAAAACAAGAAUCUUCUGCACUCUUCAGAUUAACCUAGGCAGUGAUUGUCCUUCCCACCUUCCUUCAGGACUCUGAAUCCUGUGAAGGAUGGCAAUGCUAUAGGCAGUAAAGCAUAAGAUGCCCAACUGACAAAACCGCUAUUUUCAUCUACUUUAUUCCUAAGAUUUAUUUCUAUGACUAUGACUAGCAAAUUCUGUUACACUUUUAGCUAUGACAGUACUAAUUCUUCAAGAGGCCUUCUUUAAAACUGAACUCAGCACAGGUGAGGGUGAUACUUUUUCAGCUUUUCUGAGAGUCAUGUACCACUGAUAACAGCAAGAAAGUCAAGAAUACUGACAAAGGAUGUGCUGAACAUAUUCAUACUUACACUGAGAGAUUCACAUGGUUCACCACCAGGAACAAAGAGUAUACAAGGCAAAAAAUCACUCUGAACUGCAUUUUAUAUAUUGCUAAAAAUGAACUUCAUCCAUCAACAGCUAUACAUGUAAAACUGCUUUCAAAUUCUUGGUAUCCACAGAUAUUUCAAGACACCAUAUUUUUAAUAUAGAACAAUUGUAUGUCUGAGAAUUCAGCCAAAACACCAACAUAGGCUUUUUAAAAAUUGUUAUUCUGAAAGUAUUCUAGGAUCUGGUAAGCAGGCACCUAUGUAUUUUGUUGAUAUAAAAUAUAACUUUUACAGGUUAUAGAAAUUACAUGGAAAUCAGUAAGUCUUUUGGUGAAGAUUGUUUUUAUCCAUUUUCUACCCUGAUGUAACAAAUCAUUGACAAAUUAAAAAAUACUGAGAGGUCAGAUGUAGAAACACAAACAGACUAACAUCCAUGACAUUCAAUUACUUACAGUAUUUUUAUUUACACUAAGCUAAUUAUAAUGUCUGCAGAAAGCCUCUCAUUACCUUACCUCUUCAUGCUUGUAUGAGGUCAGAACUAGGCCCUAGAUUUUUUAAUAAAAAUCCAAUUAAAAGCAAGUAGGGCAAUGAAAGGACAGGGUUGAAAGUAUAACAGGUAACUAAGCCAUCAAGCACAUGCUAUGAACUGCUUGUAAUUGGUGAAUAAAUUUAAAGGACUAGAAAGCUAAAAAUCGUCAAAUGGACUGACUGAGUAACUCUGAGUUUCAUAUCUGCACACAAGUGACAGAUGGCUUCCAAAAGCCAGCAACAAAACAAAAAUCUAUUACAGCUUUAGGGAGAACUGGCAGCAUCUGAAAAUCACCUCCGUCUGAGGGAUCUGAGCUUCUUUAUAACAAAAGAACUAUCUGAUUUAUUUUUUUUUAAUAAGAAGGAUUUUUAAAACUCAACAAUUGUUUUAUCAAAAAAAAUAUUGCAGUUAUUGUCUAUACCAGACUAAAUUUAUCAUUGCUCUAUGAUUUAUGUAACCUCUUCCUUUCAAUGCAUGCAGUUAAAACAAAGAUGAGAUUCAUUACUAUGUGUCAGCAAAGUAAACGGGUGUCACAUGAAAUGCAACAAAAGCAGCUGGUUAUGUUAGUGUGUUCUCAGUUACCUACACAAAAGGGUGUCAUGCCUAAAGAGUCAUCAAGAGAAGGUCAAACUACAGAGAAUUCAGAUUUAAUGAAAAUUUUAAAAAUUCCUAAAAACAAAAUUCCAGCAAGCAAACACACACACACCUCCACCAUAUUUUUAUCUGUCUUUCCUGUUAUGUGGGUUUCAGUAUUAGUGAAAAAUGUUCAUCUGCCAAUCUGGAAGAUAAGCUUCCCUGAACACUUGAUGAAGUCCCACAAUGUAGUGCCAUGAGUAACAGCAGAGAAAGGGAAAGACUGACAUUCCUCACAGACUAUUCCAUAAAAUACACCUGUGCUGGUUUUUGCUAGUAGUAGUUUCCUGUUUUUUCUGUAAAUCUUCAAAACCUAUUAAGAGACUGUUGUCAUGGCUAGAGCUGACGAGUUGUUACACAUGGAAAAAAUUCUACUAAUUUACUUCGCAACUUUAUUUGUACAAUCAAAAUAGCUUAGUACACAAACCAGCAACACCGCAUGUCAAAUGAAACUCCUCAGCCUUGAGUUAGGGGAAAGAAGUCAAAGCAUUAGUACACUGUCAGUGAACAAGACUUUGUAAUAAAUCUCUACUGAACAUCUGUGUGCAGGAUCAGGUAACUUAGAGGUAUCACAUGCGUUUACUGAAUUCUAAAGGCCUGUUAUGAGAGGCAAAGAAAAAGUUUUAUCAUUUUAGCAGCUGAACAAUCUUAAAAGCCAGAUCCAUAUGACUAUUAUGAUGUUGUGUAAACUGGUUUUGUAUCUGGAUUGCAACUACUCUUCUACUACCAAUUCUUCUCAUUAGUGAUCUGAAUGAUAAUGACUAAACAAAGUUAGAAUUAAACUUGUAUUAACUAAUUGAAGUCCUAUUAGUGAAAACAGCUUUUCAUUCACCUUGCAAAAGAGCAUGAAUGUCAAAACAGUCUCACUCUAAAGUCAUAGAAAGCAGAGAUGGAAAGCAAAGAGCAAGUAACUUUAAGAGAGGGAGAAGUGGGGUGGAAAAAAGGUUUUAAUUUUUCAAACAUAUUGUCUAUAUGAAUUGUUUGUUGAUUUUGGCUCAGCAGCAAUGCAAUGCUGACCCAGCGGUUACAGAACACAGACCACACACUUUGGGCUAAAGACAAAACUUUGGGUUCCUGUGACCUGACAGGGACAGAUCGUUACAAAGUGAAAACAGUGAUGAUUAGCACGGCUGUUCACAUUUGAGAAAACAAAAUGUUAAUCUUAGUCUGACUCCUGUGGGGUCUUUAUCUCACUAGUUGCAUGGUUCAUUGCUUAGCAGUUGUGAGUCCAGUUAGCUCAUCAUAAGCCUCUGCAUGGUCUAUUUUUUUGCAUUGUCUUUUCAAAACACUUUUCUGCUUCAGUAUGAGACACACUUAGGCUCCAUAAUUAAGGUAUCAACACAAAGCAGUAAGUUACAAAAAAACCCAAAAUCUGGAUUCUUCUA